UCUUUAAGAGUAUAAAUACAUCUCUCUUCUAAAUAAUUGUCAUACAAAAAAUUACACCCACUAGUUUUUGAUUUUGUUCAAUAACUUGCUUAAAAUGACUACCCUUGACAAAUUAUUCUCAUUGUAUUAUUGUAUUAUUGUACCUAAACUAGGAUUUCAAUCUAAAUGUGACAAUUUAUAUGUUCUAUAAUAUGAGUAAUGUAGGCCAAGACAGAUAAUGAGAGUAUUACUCAUUUACUAGGUCAUUUUCAUUUUCC